rnacentral:rRNA from 1 species
CAUGCAAGUGGAGCGACGAACCAGGCUUCGGCCUGGGGCAGAGCCGCGAACGGGUGAGUAACACGUGGGUAACCUGCCUCGAUGACCGGGACAACCCGGGGAAACCCGGGCUAAUACCGGAUGUGCUCUCUCCGCACAAGCGGGGAGUGGAAAGGUAGCUUCGGCCUCCGCAUCGAGAUGGGCCCGCGGCCCAUUAGCUUGUUGGUGAGGUAACGGCUCACCAAGGCUGCGAUGGGUAGCUGGUCUGAGAGGACGAUCAGCCACACUGGGACUGAGACACGGCCCAGACUCCUACGGGAGGCAGCAGUGGGGAAUCUUGCGCAAUGCGCGAAAGCGUGACGCAGCAACGCCGCGUGGGGGAAGAAGGCCUUCGGGUUGUAAACCCCUUUCAGGAGGGACGAAGCCCGGGCGGUGAAUAGCCGACUCGGGUGACGGUACCUCCACAAGAAGCCCCGGCUAACUACGUGCCAGCAGCCGCGGUAAUACGAAGGGGGCUAGCGUUGCUCGGAAUCACUGGGCGUAAAGGGUGCGUAGGCGGGAUCUUAAGUCAGAGGUGAAAGCCUGGAGCUCAACUCUAGAACUGCCUUUGAUACUGGGAUUCUUGAGUUCGAGAGAGGUGAGCGGAACUGCGAGUGUAGAGGUGAAAUUCGUAGAUAUUCGCAAGAACACCAGUGGCGAANGCGGCUCACUGGCUCGAUACUGACGCUGA